rnacentral:rRNA from 1 species
UACGUAGGGUGCGAGCGUUGUCCGGAAUUAUUGGGCGUAAAGGGCUCGUAGGCGGUUUGUCGCGUCGGGAGUGAAAUCCACUGGCUUAACUGGUGGCUUGCUUUCGAUACGGGCAGACUGGAGGUAUGCAGGGGAGAACGGAAUUCCUGGUGUAGCGGUGAAAAUGCGCAGAUAUCAGGAGGAACACCGGUGGCGAAGGCGGUUCUCUGGGCAUGUCCUGACGCUGAGGAGCGAAAGUGUGGGGAGCGAACAGG